rnacentral:rRNA from 1 species
CAGCCGCCGCGGUAAUACGUAGGGUGCGAGCGUUAAUCGGAUUUACUGGGCGUAAAGCGUGCGCAGGCGGCCCGUUAAGACAGGUGUGAAAUCCCUGGGCUCAACCUAGGAAUUGCGCUUGUGACUGGCGGGCUCGAGUACGGUAGAGGGGGGUGGAAUUCCUGGUGUAGCAGUGAAAUGCGUAGAGAUCAGGAGGAACACCGAUGGCGAAGGCAGCCCCCUGGGCCUGUACUGACGCUCAUGCACGAAAGCGUGGGGAGCAACCAGGAUUAGAUACCCUGGUAGUCCACGCCCGAAACUAUGGGUACUAGCCGUUUGGUGCGCGAUAGCGCUGAGUGGCGAAGCUAACGCGUGAAGUACCCCGCCUGGGGAGUACGGCCGCAAGGUUGAAACUUAAAGGAAUUGGCGGG